CAAGUCGAACGAUGAGGCCCAGCUUGCUGGGUGGAUUAGUGGCGAACGGGUGAGUAACACGUGAGUAGCCUGCCCUUGAGUUCGGGAUAACUCCGGGAAACCGGGGCUAAUACCGGAUAUGAGCCGUCCUCGCAUGGGGGUGGUUGGAAAGUUUUUCGGUCAGGGAUGGGCUCGCGGACUAUCUUGUUGUUGGUGGGGUGAUGGCCUACCAAGGCGACGACGGGUAGCCGGCCUGAGAGGGCGACCGGCCACACUGGGACUGAAACACGGCCCAUACUCCUACGGGAGGCAGCAGUGGGGAAUAUUGCACAAUGGGCGAAAGCCUGAUGCAACGACGCCGCGUGAGGGAUGAAGGCCUUCUGGUUGUAAACCUCUUUCAGCAGGGAAGAAGCGCAAGUGACGGUACCUGCAGAAGAAGCGCCGGCUAACUACGUGCCAGCAGCCGCGGUAAUACGUACGGCGCAAGCGUUGUCCGGAAUUAUUGGGCGUAAAGAGCUCGUAGGCGGUUUGUCGCGUCUGGUGUGAAAACUCGAGGCUCAACUUCUAGCUUGCAUCGGGUACGGGCAGACUAGAGUGCGGUAGGGGAGACUGGAAUUCCUGGUGUAGCGGUGGAAUGCGCAGAUAUCAGGAGGAACACCGAUGGCGAAGGCAGGUCUCUGGGCCGCAACUGACGCUGAGGAGCGAAAGCAUGGGGAGCGAACAGGAUUAGAUACCCUGGUAGUCCAUGCCGUAAACGUUGGGCACUAUGUGUGGGGCUCACUCCACGAGUUCCGUGCCGCAUCAAACGCAUUAUGUGCCCCGCCUGGAGAGUACCGCCGCAAGGCUAACACUCAAAGGAAGUGACGGGCGCCCCGCACAAGCGGCAGAGCAUGCGUAAUUAAUUCGAUGCAACGCGAAGACUCUUUACCGAUGUUUGACAUGCACGACAAGCCACCAGAGAUGGUGGUCUCUUUGGACACUCGUGCACAGGUGCAGCAUGGCUCGUCCGUCAGCUUCGUGUCGUGAAGAUGUUGGGAUGACUCCCGCAACGCAGCGCACCCGUCGUCCUAUGUCGCCAGCGGGAUCUGGCGGGGCACUCAUGGCAUACUGCCGGGCUCCAACCUCGGAAGAAUGGUGGGGGAUAGACUCACAU
rnacentral:rRNA from 1 species